rnacentral:lncRNA from 1 species
UGCCCAAGAUACUUGUAAUUGCCAACUCUUGUUUUAAAGUUUAUUAUACAAGAGUGUGCGUAUAUAUAUAUAUAUAUAUAUAGUUGGUGCCAAUUAGUCAAUUACUUAUCCACUAAUUUCUUUGCACUGUAGCACUUUCCAUCAAUAAUGUAUGAGUAUUUCAAAAACAUAUGCUCACCUCACAUAUCGAUUAUCUCAAAAUCAACAAUGUUAUCAUUUUUUUCCUCUAGGAUUGAUCCAACUGAGAAAGGAACCCUGAUUCAUGUGUCUUUGUAGCUGUGAAGCAGAGCAUGGCCCAAGGGAAUCCAACUACAGUUCCUGGUGCUCACCAAAAGUAAGCAGGCAUGUGGAGCAAGGGGAUGGGCACUGCCAUGGGAAGGACUACUUUUGGUUUACUAGAACAAAACAACAUUAAUCCACACGCUUGGGAUUGUGUAAGAACCCCUACCAACCCAUCCCCACCCAACCCCACCUCCCUAUUCAGCUCACUCCCAGUUCUCCCCAUCCCAUGCCCAAAGCCCAAGAAUCAAUAUCAUCAUCAGCAUCACCUACGAAAAGAACAAAAAAUACAACAAUCUGGAAGAUGAAUCUCACACUAGACUCUACUUCAUCACCUCACAGGAGUAUUAAUACAGUACUGAAACCCUUGAGUUAGUCCCCUUGUUAAUGAUGCGCCUAGACUGCAAAAGUUGUAGCAGCAGCUGCUGCAGUAGUGCUGUAGCUUGGCUGGAAGAGUAGCUUGCUGGGAUUCCACACCCGGUGGGACAGCCGUCGGCCUGAAGUAGUAUCAUGUCCUUGCACGAGAACAAGCAGGCGGUAAGACUGGCCAAUGCGGAGGCAGCAGGAUUAGGAGGGUUGAGACUCCUAGAGCAAGUGGAUCAUCAUGAGCGUUGCAGCGGGGCCUUGCUGCGGCACACGUGGUAAAGGACCCUGCAAGUUUAUUAUGUCAGCAUCGGGAAGAAAGAGAGAGAGAAAGAAAGAUUCAAGACGAUGGAGUGGUGCACAGUGGACUGAGCUCAGUGCUGGGGAGAUUGGUUGCUCGAUUGCUGGGACCAUGCCAUCCAUUCUUGGAAAGAACAUCCAAUUAUUUGACUGUGCACUCGGAGCUAGAAGAUUAGAGGUUCGUAGUCUGCGACAGAUUGAUACUAACUAGAUACGAGUUACGAGCUUCGCAAACCGUGCAUGGUACGCAAAGAGCAUGCAAAAGCUGGCCCCGCAGCGGUCACAACCAAGGUCACUUAGAAAUUGAAUGCGGUGGAAAACUCUGGAGCGAUACAGUUGAGUUGUGGUCACUUACCGCCAACCGGCUUUUGAACUCAUAGGGCGCCAUGUUGGUCGUGGUAAGAUCUCAUAUUUGGAUCGACUAAAGCAACAGAAGGAUAAUACCUUGCAAGAGGUGACUCUCGCAGCAAACACAAGCUAAGCUUCAUCGUUGCUAUGCAUUUCUGUUUGUCGAACAAGCAACACUAGACAUCACAAGGAAGAAG